GAUGAAGAACGUAGCGAAAUGCGAUAAGUAAUGCGAAUUGCAGAAUUUCCGUGAGUCAUCGAAUCUUUGAACGCAUAUUGCGCCCUCUGGUAUUCCGGGGGGCACACCUGUUCGAGCGUCAUUACAACACUCAAGCUCUGCUUGGUAUUGGGCGCCGCCCUGUGCGGGCGCGCCUCAAACUCCUCGGCAUCGCCGUCCGUCUUUAAGCGCAGCGAGAUCAUUUUCCAGCGUUUUCAAAGCCGGGCCUCGACCGCCGGACAACACCUUCUACUUUUCAAGGUUGACCUCGGAUCAGGUGGGGAUACCCGCUGAACUUAAGCAUAUCAAUAAGCGGAGGA
rnacentral:misc_RNA from 1 species